GACGAACGCUGGCGGCGUGCUUAACACAUGCAAGUCGAACGGAAAGGCCCUGCUUUUGUGGGGUGCUCGAGUGGCGAACGGGUGAGUAACACGUGAGUAACCUGCCCUUGACUUUGGGAUAACUUCAGGAAACUGGGGCUAAUACCGGAUAGGAGCUCCUGCUGCAUGGUGGGGGUUGGAAAGUUUCGGCGGUUGGGGAUGGACUCGCGGCUUAUCAGCUUGUUGGUGGGGUAGUGGCUUACCAAGGCUUUGACGGGUAGCCGGCCUGAGAGGGUGACCGGCGACAUUGGGACUGAGAUACGGCCCAGACUCCUACGGGAGGCAGCAGUGGGGAAUAUUGCACAGUGGGCGGAAGCCUGAUGCAGCAACGCCGCGUGCGGAAUGACGGCCUUCGGGUUGUAAACCGCUUUCGCCUGUGACGAAGCGUGAGUGACGGUAAUGGGUAAAGAAGCACCGGCUAACUACGUG
rnacentral:rRNA from 1 species